rnacentral:lncRNA from 1 species
CUUGUUAGAUUUUAGGGUUUAAAUAGGUUAUGAGGGAUUAGCCUCAACUAUAGAUUGCUAAAUUGUGAUAUUCAUCAUUAGGAUUGUCAUUAAUGCCUGUUUCUAGAUUAGCUACCUAGUACUUGCCCUAGGAAUUGUAGACAUAAGCGAUAGCUUGCAUCUCACCCUGAAUCCAUCCUAAAUGAGCUAAGACUUCCUAGAAUAAGCGAGAGUUGAUCUAGUAAC